rnacentral:rRNA from 1 species
UACGGGGGGAGCAAGCGUUGUUCGGAUUUACUGGGCGUAAAGGGCGCGUAGGCGGUCAGCACAAGUCAGUUGUGAAAAUCUCCGGGCUUAACUCGGAAAGGUCAACUGAUACUGUGCGACUAGAGUGCGGAAGGGGCAACUGGAAUUCUCGGUGUAGCGGUGAAAUGCGUAGAUAUCGAGAGGAACACCUGCGGCGAAGGCGGGUUGCGUGGGCCGACACUGACGCUGAUGCGCGAAAGCCAGGGGAGGCGAACGGG